UGGAAGUAAGAACAAUCAUCAAGACGUGAGCUCAACAGGGAGGGUGUCAUUUUUCUCAAAUAAGAAAUAACCAGGAAGUUCCCAGUCCGGUGUCAUGGUGUCAGGGCGGUCAUGAGAGAUGCUGGCACCUCCUUUGUGCCUUCUCUUCUUGGCAUGAGUGCAUGGGUGGUAUCCCAUGUUUGUCACAUGUUGAUCACAGUAGCUGUUGCUCUACCAGACAGCGUGUCUGUAACUGGAGAAGAAAAGGAAAAGCAAGAACAGAAAGAAGCAUGCCAGAUACCACAGAUCAAAACACCUUGGGUUGAUGUGAGGUUGAUCAAGGCACGUUGACCAUGAUGACUGGUGUAUGGCUGAAAGAUGCAUUUGCGUUGUUUAGAGUCUCCUUCCCCAAGAGAUCAUUUGGUCCAGCAUAAGAAAUCUAUCUUCCUAUCAAUGUGCAGGCCGGGUGACCUUCAUAAACAGCCAAACAGCUGACAUGGCAUCAACUCAACUAAAAGAAGAGUCAACACCCUCUGCAAACCAUAAAUCCAGAAUUCUCAACAACAGUUCUGGGUUUGGGUCCCAAAGAGAUGGAACACUCCUAUGAGAAUAAAUUGAAGCAUCUUUAA